AUAUGGAGAUCUGUCUGCGUUAAGAGAGUUAACAGAAGCAUAUUUCCUUGAAUUUGUUUGUUUUGUUUUUGUUUUUGUUUCUUCUUGAAUUUGUUCUGAUUGACGUUGUUAUCAUUGUAAGGUAAACUUGAUUCAGUUCUGCAGACGUACUGAAUACACCUUAUGGCAAGCAUUCUGCUAACUUAAGAAAUGUUCUAGACACCAGGAAUAUAUGUAAGAUUUAUUCCUUGUCCUCAAAAAGUAUACAUUUGAGGUGAGGGCAGGACAAGAAAGGCAGGCAGUAUAGCAUAGUGGUUAAGAGCACCGACUUGGGAUCAGCUUACCUGGAUUUGAAUUCUUACUUCACCAAUUCCAAGCUAGUAUGACUUUGGGAAGUUACUUACAGUUUUUUCAUCUAUAAAAUGAGGAUAAGAGCAGUUUCUGCUUCACUGGAUUAAAAUAAAUUAAUGCGUAUAAAAUACUUUGAAUAGUGCUUGGCAAAUAAUAGGUACUCAAUAUGUGUUAACUAUUAUUUUUAUAAAAAAUGAAGUAGCUUGGUGUGUAUGUUAGGAAAGGUUUAGAAAAUUAGUUGAUGAAAUAGUGGUUAGUGGUGGCACACAUCACAAAAUAGUUUUAGGAGGAUAAAUAAAAGACUUAAUUUUUAGAAACAUAUACAUAAGUGAAACCCAGGCCAUUUACUAUUCAAAGAAGAGACUUGUUUAUAUACUUCAUGCACACACAUGUGUACAUGCACACACAUAUUUUGUACCAUACGCUAAAACCAGCCUAUAAAAUGAUCUACAGGCAACAUCAAAGUUUUAGAAUUUAUCCAGAAUAUUUGUUUUGCCUUGAUAACAGUUAUGAAUCAUUACCCAUUAAUUUAUUGAUUAAUAAAUGAAUCUUUUAAUUGAUUAUCAUAUUUGUGAUACAGAAUAGUACAGUAAUGCUUCAUUGUAACCACAUCAGCAAAUGAAAUGUUCCACUGAAAGAAAUUGUCAGGUUACUGUAGUUUACCCUACCGGCACCAAGUUUUUCUUAAUUUUUCACUCCAACCUUUUAAAAAAAGUUUGUAUCUUAAUAAAUAAGAGUAUAUCAAUUAAAGUAUAAUCUUGUAGAAUCACAAAAUUUCACAGGUAGCUCUGUAGCACACACUUGGCUCAGCUCUUAUUUUACUGAUGUAGAGACUGAUUUUCAGACAAGAUAAAGGACUUGUCUUUGGUCACAUCUUGAUGUGGCAAAUCCAGGGCUGACCCUCUUCUUUUAGUAGAGCAGACUUUCCAGUAUAAUGUUAAGUGCCUCAGAUUUUUCUGUGUGUAUCUCAUUGUCUUGUGCUCUUACGGUACAACUGAUCCAGAAAGGAAACAGCAGUGAAUGACACUAGAUAAUGAGAAUGACCUUGGAAGUGUUGAGAAAUGGCAAGCUUAUCAAUUGCAUGAGACUUGGCCUUCUCCAAUUAAGCAGCUUUUAUCUUUAAAACAUUUGAAAGUACUAUUUUGAGAUAUCCUUAGGAACUGUUAAAGUUGAUAGUACUGUUGGAGGCUAUAAUGAAAGGCUCAGCUACUCUGCUUUUCUAAUUAUCGAAUGUUCUGUGCUCUGCUUCCUGCUGUCACUUCUCCUUGCUGUCUGCUUCCACCAGCUGGUCUUACAGUUUCAUGUUAACUGGCUUAAUCUCUUGUCUGCUAGGGUAUAGGACAGACAGAAGGGAGCUAAUGCUGGUUUUGCUGCUUACUAGAUGGAGACUUUAGACAAGUUAAUUAACUUCUUUGAGUCUUAAUUUUAUUAUCUUAAAAUUGGGCAUUAUAACAGUUCCUACUAUAUAGGAUUGUUGUGAAGACUGGGAACUACUCUCAGAGUUGCAAAUACAAAUGCUGUUUCUAUUUUAUUUCUAGUACUAGUACUAGUCAGUAUUUAAAUAACCACCAUAGUUUAGAGAAUCUCCCUUUAAUAAGUUAACCAAGGAGUUGGAGCCUGUCCCUCUUUGUGACAUCAUUUUAUGUGCAAAUGUCAGUUGAGAAGAUGACUGGUACCCAAGAAAACUGAACAAGCAAGGCAUGCUUGACAAAGUUACUACAGGCCAAGGCCUCACUCACAGUCAUAAGCUAAGAAACAAAACAAGAUCCAUUUUAGAGAAAUGGACUCAUAUCAUGCAAGUUCUCCAAAACUGUCUUAUAAAAUACCAAUUUCUAAAAAAGCUAACUGGUAAGGGACUGAACCCUAGUUUCUUCUGGCCAAUCAGGUUUUCUCUCUAUAAGCAACCCUCAGGAAACCAACUCAGAAUGCUAGUUUAUUCAUUUAAAAUAAGGUAUGUAAAUGCCAAGGGGACAGGACAUGCCCAUCCUCCAGCCAGUACUUCCCUUCAGGCAAAAAUAUGCGUGUGAAACCAGAGUAUAAUCAGGAGGUGGGCAGCCUUGGCACCUACAUCCCCAGUAGUCAGUAGCUACCCCUGGAACUGGUCUUCAGGUCCCUCUAUCCUAGACAUUAGGUGGGUACUGUCCACGUUUGCCUCUGUGACUCCUUGGUGACCACCCACCUGAAUGACACUUUUUUGGACAGAUUCAUACGUGCAGUCAGGUUGUACCCUUGGACUAUCCUUGCCGGCCUGGGACCUAUGAUGACUCUUACUUCUUGGCCUUUUUCUGCUCUUACACUAUGUUGAUUGUAAAGUUAACUCUCGGAGCUUCCUGGGGGACCUCUACUGCAGUUUCUGUAAACACACAAAAUUUGCUCUUCCAGUCAUUGAAUUUACUUGCUCCUAUGUAGCAACCUCAGACACCUCGAGUUUGUUUACUACACAUGGUCCCAGGCCUUCUCUUGGAAGAAACCCCAGUGAUCUUCCAAGAAGUAAUCUACUCCUCAUGAACCUGACCUCUCUGGGCAGGCUGAGGGAUGGAGAGGGAGAGAGAAUGGAGUCAUCGCUCUAUACUGUUUGUCUGUGGCAGCCUUCCAUUUUCUCUUCUGUGACCUGUCUCUGUCCUCUGACUUCCCGGGUUUGCCCCUGGGAGCACUGCUUAUGGGCUCCCCCUAGGUGCUCUGCACUCCCUCCAGCACACGCCCCAAGCCGACUCUACCAGAUCUAUGGCAUUUUCUGCCUGGUAAUUAGACCAUAUAAUUUAAAAUAACCUUUUUUCUUUCUUUUACUUUCCAUGAAAACAUCCAUCUUCUUAGUCUUUAGUACAUAUUAGAAAAAGUGGUUUGAUUAAACUGUAGGAUUCAGGGGUUCAUAGUUGUAUCACACAUUGACUGUGUAGCAGUUUGAUUUAGUUCUUUUUGAGAGCGUAAGUCUCGGACGAGCUGCAGUCAGUGGGGGCAGGGCCAGAGGGAGAGUGAAUCUCAAGCAGACUCCAUGCUGAGCAUAGAGCCGGGCUUGAUCACAUGCCUAUGAGAUCAUGAACCGAGCUGAAACCAGGACCUUGACAUCUAAGUGACUGAGCCACCCAGGCACCCCUAAGCAUUUUGAUACUGUAACUGCUUCUAUAGAAAAGUUUAUUUAAAAAAAAAAAAAAAAAGGCUUUGGGUUCUGGAGCUCUUUUUAACUUGGUCUCCUGCAAAGCCCUAAGGUUGGGAGUGGGGCUAAGCCGGGCUGGUAUGGAUAUGAUUUUCUUUGCUUUGCAUAUUGGGCAUUUCUUAUAAUAUUUAAUGUGUAAGAAAGAUCUUAUAGAUAGAAUUUGAAGACCGCUGGUUGGUUAUCUGCAAUUCCUUGAGGAAUGUGAAUUGAGGAGUGUGAAGUUUUACAAUCUGUUACUUUCCACACAGUUUCUUUAUCUCAGCUGUGUUAUUUUGAAAUGUACUGAAAAAGUCCUUAGUUACUUGUAAAUUCCUUUUCUUAAAAUGCUACUCUGAAAUUACUUUCUGCUCAUCUUCAAUGUUAGAGAAAUGAGUAAAAGAUAAGCAUGAAUUAAAUGCUGUGUUCUCUGACCUGGGCUUAAACUCUGGCUCCACCAUUUCUUUAUAAAGUUACGAAACCUCUCUCUGCCCCCCUGGACUUGUUUUCUGCUAAGUGGGCGCCCUCAUGCAGGCUGCUGGGAGACCCAGAGUUGACCGUGGAUACACUGUGCCGAGAAUGUUCUCUGCUCAGUGUUGGAUGCCAGCAGCAGCAGCAGCCUUGUACUCGGUAACUAGAUGAGCCCCGGGCUGUACUUAGGGGUGUUUUUCAGCAUUUAAUAUGAAUCUGUGAAAGUUCAAGAAGAGUUUUCUAAUUAUGGAUAAUUGUGUAUUUUCCUUGAAAGAGUUUAAGUGUUCUGAUUAACCUGAAGUUUCUACUCUACUUGCAGUAGGAUUAAGAUGAUUUUAUUCUACACCCGAUUGCCAACAUACUGGCUUUCUGCUUGGCUCAAAUUCCUCUAUCCCUUUUAACACUGCUGCUCUGAGAUGGUAACAUAGGAAAUGAGGUACAUUGAGGUUGCAGCGGCGCACUGUUUCAGAGUCUGUUAGGGCAGGGAAGAAGUGCUGGUAAAAGCAAGUGUCCUUUUUGCCAGGAGUUUGAUAAUUGAGAAUAUACAUCAAAAAAGAAAACGGUCUAAAGCUGUCUGCUUAGAAAUCUCUAGAAACUAAUCCAUUAAAACUUACAGUAUUUCAGUAAGGCAUUAGGAUUUGUUGUUACUGUAACAGGAUAUAUGCAGUACCGGGUGACUUA